GUUUGCUUAUCCGUAAAGCCGU
rnacentral:siRNA from 1 species